CCUACGGGAGGCUGCAGUCGAGAAUCAUUCACAAUGGGGGAAACCCUGAUGGUGCGACGCCGCGUGGGGGAAUGAAGGUCUUCGAAUUGUAAACCCCUGUCAUGUGGGAGCAAAUUAAAAAGAUCGUACCACACGAGGAAGAGACGGCUAACUCUGUGCCAGCAGCCGCGGUAAUACAGAGGUCUCAAGCGUUGUUCGGAAUCACUGGGCGUAAAGCGUGCGUAGGCUGUUUCGUAAGUCGUGUGUGAAAGGCGCGGGCUCAACCCGCGGACGGCACAUGAUACUGCGAGACUAGAGUAAUGGAGGGGGAACCGGAAUUCUCGGUGUAGCAGUGAAAUGCGUAGAUAUCGAGAGGAACACUCGUGGCGAAGGCGGGUUCCUGGACAUUAACUGACGCUGAGGCACGAAGGCCAGGGGAGCGAAAGGGAUUAGAUACCCGUGUAGUC
rnacentral:rRNA from 1 species